rnacentral:tRNA from 1 species
GAGGAUAUAGCUCAGGGUUAGAGUGUGUGUUUAGCACACAUGAGGUCCUAGGUUCAAUCCCCAGUACCUAUA